rnacentral:lncRNA from 1 species
CCUCUGGCUGCCCUCUCCAAGGAUCCCUGUGGUGCCAGGCAGGAAUGGGCUGCUUGGGGACCCAGGGAGCUCCCAAGGUCUUUCCUGCUGCUUCCUCUACCCCUGUAUUUCGUUCGGCUGUCUAGACUGACUCAGCUUCAGGCCCUCUGUGCAUGCCAUGCUUAAUAAGGUAAUAAAAAGGUAAGAUUAUAAAGAAGGAAGAGGCCUAUCAAGGAAAGAAGGCUCUUUAUUUGCUUUGCUGUCAUGGUAUCCUUCCCAUUCCACUGGCUUCCAGCACAUAUGUGGCAAGAGCUCUUCAGCUUGUGACCAUCCUAACUGGCCUCAAUCAAAUGACACAGGCAGGUGUUUGAGUUUGUGCCCUCUGACCUAAAAGCUUUACUGACUCCUGCAUGCUGGGAGAGGUGGUGUCGAUUGCAGGGAGCUUUAUGCAGUGGUUGAUUAAACACACAUCUGGAAGACUCUUGGGAAUUGGCAGACUCUUCAAGGAAGAGAAAGUAUCAGGAAGUCAUCCCAGCUGCUGCUCUGAGGAAUCUUGCUUGUCUAAUUAGAUCUUAGGCUGGCACACCUGGUGGAUUUUUCGAGGCAGGGAAUAAUGACCCUCACAGUUUAAAAGAUCUCUUUCCAUGGCAACCCACAAUGCUUUAGUCAAUUUGAGAGCUUGUUAGCAUCACGUCUCUAGUUUAUCUUUCCCUUAUAAGUGAGUUUUCUUUCUUUCUGAAUUGCAUACUGGUGGCAUGCCAACAAGAAUCAAAAUCCACUUUCAGAACAAAGGAGGAAAUAUAUAUGUGUUUUUUCUCUUUAAUUUCCUUUGUUCAGCUCUUAUGCCAGUCCGAUAUUCCUACUUCUUGGACCUUUGUGAGCCAACCUUUUAUUUCCCUUUUUCUUAUGGAAAAGUGCACUUUGAUUGCACUGGUGCUUAUGAACCAAUGCAGGAAUUUUUUUUUUUUUUUUUUUUUUUUAGACAGAGUCUUGCUCUGUUGCUCAGGCUGGAGUGCUGGAGUGCAGUGGCUUAAUCUCAGCACAUUGCAGCAUCUGCCUCCCAGGUUCAAGCGAUUCUCCUGCCUCAGCCUCCUGAGUAGCUGGGACUACAGGCACGUGCCACCACCCUACCCGGCUACUUUUUGUAUUUUUAGUGGAGAUGGGGUUUUGUCUUGUUGGCCAGGCUGGUCUUGAACUCCUGACCCUAAGUGAUCCAUCUGCUUCGGCCUCCCAAAGUGCUGGGAUUACAGGCAUGAGCCACAGUGCCUGGCCAAUGCAGGACUUUUUAAUACAAAUGCAUGUGAAGGCCCUCAAAUGCAAACACACAGAAACAUACGUAACAAAAUGCACUUGUUUAUGUACUGUGUACACACAGAGACCUGUGAGCUCUUGCUCAUAUACAAACUUGCUCUGUGCCUGAUGCCUAUUAGGAGUGAGAGGUUCCUAACUGACAUAACCUUCUUUUCAGAAGAAUAAAAUAGAAGGUUACUGAGUC